AGUCUGGAGUGAAAGGCGACGGCUCAACCGUCGACGCGCUUCGGAAACUGGGGGACUUGAGGGCAGGAGAGGCGAGCGGAAUUCCCGGUGUAGCGGUGAAAUGCGUAGAGAUCGGGAAGAACACCAGUGGCGAAGGCGGCUCGCUGGACUGGCCCUGACGCUGACGCGCGAAAGCGUGGGGAGCGAACGGGAUUAGAUACCCCGGUAGUCCACGCCGUAAACGAUGGGCACUAGGUGUGGGAGGUAUCGACCCCUCCCGUGCCGGAGUUAACACACUAAGUGCCCCGCCUGGGGAGUACGGCCGCAAGGUUGAAACUCAAAGGAAUUGACGGGGGCCCGCACAAGCAGUGGAGCAUGUGGUUUAAUUCGACGCAACGCGAAGAACCUUACCCGGGCUUGACAUCCCCGGAACACCCGAGAGAUCGGGUGGCUCUACGGAGCCGGGAGACAGGUGCUGCAUGGUUGUCGUCAGCUCGUGUCGUGAGAUGUUGGGUUAAGUCCCGCAACGAGCGCAACCCUUGUCCCGUGUUACCAGCGUAAAGGCGGGGACUCACGGGAGACUGCCGGUGACAAACCGGAGGAAGGUGGGGAUGACGUCAAAUCAUCAUGGCCCUUAUGUCCGGGGCUACACACGUGCUACAAUGGCCGGCACAGCGGGAUGCGAAGGGGCGACCCGGAGCGAAUCCCUGAAAGCCGGUCCCAGUUCGGAUCGCAGGCUGAAACCCGCCUGCGUGAAGCCGGAAUUGCUAGUAA
rnacentral:rRNA from 1 species